UAGCCGGGCUCGAGCACCUGG
rnacentral:misc_RNA from 1 species